ACCCGCACACUGACCAUUACACAAGCAAUAAUUUAUUUAGAAAAAUACGUUUCAGUCUCAGACCUUCAUCUGGUAAAAGUGCACUGAGCUGUAA